AUUAAAUGAAAAAAUACACAACAAUAAUCCGGGUAUCAAAAUCUCGAAAAAAUUUCGCUAUAUAAGAAAAUCCCGUUCACUGAUUUUCUUUCAAAUUUUGUUUAUACCGGUUUGCCUCUCUAAUCAUUAUCUAAUAAUCUCGUAAGUUGACCUAGAACCGGCUACGUUUCAUUAUGGGUGCGCCACAUAUCUACCAAACAGCAAACUAACCGCAAACUGCUGRAAAUUUCUGCCAAAAAAAAUUUCUGUGGAGCGACAUCUACAAUAGCGAGGUACGAAAUAGCAUGUAAGUCCCGCCCUAUUUUGUUUCCAUUCUAAGGGGGGAUAUUUUGUGAUUUUAAUAGUAAAUUUCCAUAUAUCGUUUCUGAAAAAUUCGUAUGCAAAUUGCGCAGGCGCACUGUACUGUAAAGACGCGUAGAUAAUAGUACAAGACCAACUAACAAAAUCAUAAUAUCACGCACUCAAGUUAUUUAUUCAAGUAUUUUAUAGUAUGAAGACUACAGGCUAAAUUUCGAGCGGUGUUGCCAACCUUCACAAAACGUUUUAAGUUCUUGUAAAUUGUUUCCUGGGAUACCUAGCAAGCAGAUCCACUAAGUUUGGGUCGGUUUAGAUUAUUUAGCUAUUUUGUUGAUUUUUGAUGACCUGAAACACGACUUAGCAGCAAAUGGCACCGGACAAUCUCAAUUUCCUGCAUAAAUGAGUGAUUUUGGAAAAGCGAAUUUCAAAAGUGUGUGAAAUAAGAAAAACGAAAAAUCGGAGUAAGUCAAACGGCACGAUCAUCGUUUUUGAAAAUAUUUUCUACAAGGUGAGCACUUUUUUAACGACGCAUGAUUUCCCUUCAAAUAGCACCUUCAAAACAAAUUUUGACUAUGAUGUCUACGCAAUUUAACUGAUUUAAAAUCACUAUAGCACAGACUACUCACUAUUAUAGACUAUAGUCAUGGUGACGAUGUAGAACAAUUGCAUUUAUCAGACGUCGAACAAAGAAUGAUUGCUGCGAAAUUCAUCCUGGAAGUUCCAACAAAAAGGUAAAGUAUAAUAUAAUGUGAAAUAUAAAGUAAGUCAC